GAUCCUGGCUCAGAACGAACGCUGGCGGCAGGCUUAACACAUGCAAGUUGAACGGGAUUUGUGUGGUGCUUGCACCAUAUAAUGAGAGUAGUCGCACUGGUGAGUAACACGUGGGAACGUGCCUUUUAGUGGGGGAUAACAUCUGGAAACGGGAUGCUAAUACCGCAUACGCCCUGAGGGGGAAAGAUUUAUUGCUAAGAGGUCGGCCCGCGGUAGAUUAGGCAGUUGGUGGGGUAAAGGCCUACCAAACCUACG
rnacentral:rRNA from 1 species